UAAACUGUUCCGUUUAAUAAAAUUGAGUUUGAUUUCAAUAUUCACAUAACUUGUCUAUGGAAGAUACAUAAUAUGAUGGUUUUUUGUACUAUCAAAAAACCAUUUAUUGCUAUUGACUGGGUCUUCGGAUAUUAGGUUGAGGAUCUCAGAAAUCGAUCGCCCAUAUCAUUUCAGUCGAAGAAUUUAUACGCGGAUAAUAAAAAAAGUACCUUAUUGGUUAAUUAAAAAUAAUUGCAAUUUUCAUUGUGGUUUUUAAAGUAGACUUAUUAAUUUAAAUAGUAAUAUAUUCUCAAUGGAAAAUAACUUCUUUGCAAAGUUAACACAAGGUGAUGUCACGUUUAGUUGUUUAGUGGGAGAGGUCCAGACAUCGAUCUUCUCCAAGUACGCUGCACAUAAUUAAUAAUAACGAGGAAUACACUAAUGCGCUUGUAGUGAUUCAAUUAUCUGUUCAAGUUCCCCAACUUAUAACCGCCAGUAAACCGAUGCGAUCUUGGUUCAUCGAUGACCAGUCGUUGAUCUAGGAGGUAGGUCCUUAAACAUCAGGUUCUCGUCCACAGCUUUGGACCGGAAUCCCGGUGAUUGUAAUUUCUGUAAUUCUACAGGUAAAAUUCAACCAGAAAUCGUCUUUUCCCACUCGAUUUGGAGAAAUUCGCUUUGUGCUUGAUUUUACAGGCUUGUUAUGCAAUGUGUUUUCCUCCUUUGUAGAUAUUUGAUUAAAUUUUUUUAGAUCGUAUGGGUUAAAAUCUGUUUUUUGUCCUCGUCCCUUGUUGUAUUGAUCCAGUCUUAACAAUUUUAGGUUUUCUGGGGUUUUAUACGCUGAACGCUAUUAGAAAAUGCCUAUUCCACGUCACUGUAGAAGAGGUAGAUUUGAUUGCAGACGCAAAGACUGUGAUUUCUAUAGGAAAAAUCUGGUACCAAAGUAAGUUUAUCCAAAGCAAGUUGUCUUCCGCUUUUUUGCUGCAACAGGAACCAUCGAACAGGAUAGAUAGCUUCUUCGCAAGCACCCUCGAUCACGAUCAGUGCAGAAUUCGAGGAUAACCUCGAUAACAGACUGCCCA